AUUGAACGCUGGCGGCAGGCCUAACACAUGCAAGUCGAACGGUAACAGAAAGCAGCUUGCUGCUUUGCUGACGAGUGGCGGACGGGUGAGUAAUGUCUGGGACACUGCCUGAUGGAGGGGGUUAACUACUGGAAACGGUAGCUAAUACCGCAUAACGUUGCAAGACCAAAGAGGGGGACCUUCGGGCCUCUUGCCAUCGGCUGUGCCCAGAUGGGAUUAGCUAGUAGGUGGGGUAACGGCUCACCUAGGAGACGAUCCCUAGCUGGUCUGAGAGGAUGACCGGCCACACUGGAACUGAGACACGGUCCAGACUCCUACGGGAGGCAGCAGUAGGGAAUAUUGCACAAUGGGCGCAAGCCUGAUGCAGCCAUGCCGCGUGUAUGAAGAAGGCCUUCGGGUUGUAAAGUACUUUCAGCGGGGAGGAAGGGAGUAAAGUUAAUACCUUUGCUCAUUGACGUUACCCGCAGAAGAAGCACCGGCUAACUCCGUG
rnacentral:rRNA from 1 species